rnacentral:rRNA from 1 species
CCUACGGGAGGCAGCAGUGGGGAAUAUUGGACAAUGGGGGCAACCCUGAUCCAGCCAUGCCGCGUGUGUGAAGAAGGCCCUCGGGUUGUAAAGCACUUUCAGUGAGGAAGAACGCCUGGUGGUUAAUACCCAUCAGGAAAGACAUCACUCACAGAAGAAGCACCGGCUAACUCCGUGCCAGCAGCCGCGGUAAUACGGAGGGUGCGAGCGUUAAUCGGAAUUACUGGGCGUAAAGCGCGCGUAGGUGGCUUGAUAAGCCGGUUGUGAAAGCCCCGGGCUCAACCUGGGAACGGCAUCCGGAACUGGCAAGCUAGAGUGCCGGAGAGGAAGGUAGAAUUCCCGGUGUAGCGGUGAAAUGCGUAGAGAUCGGGAGGAAUACCAGUGGCGAAGGCGGCCUUCUGGACUGACACUGACACUGAGGUGCGAAAGCGUGGGUAGCAAACAGGAUUAGAUACCCCGGUAGUC